CCCCUUGUGGUGUAGUUGGCUAUCACGUUCGGCUGUAAUUGAAAACAAGAUUGUAUACCGAAAGGUCACCGGCUCGAUUCCGGUCGAGGGGA